GGGUGAUUAGCUCAGUUGGUAGAGCAGCUGACUCUUAAUCAGCGGGUCGAAGGUUCGAAUCCUUCAUCACCCA
rfam:Hyphomicrobium nitrativorans NL23, complete genome.